GACGAACGCUGGCGGCGUGCUUAACACAUGCAAGUCGAACGAUGAAGCCGGAGCUUGCUCUGGUGAAUUAGUGGCGAACGGGUGAGUAACACGUGAGUAACCUGCCCUUGACUCUGGGAUAACUGCGGGAAACUGUAGCUAAUACCGGAUACGACCCUCGGAGGCAUCUCCUGGGGGUGGAAAGAAUUUCGGUCAAGGAUGGACUCGCGGCCUAUCAGCUAGUUGGUGAGGUAAAGGCUCACCAAGGCGACGACGGGUAGCCGGCCUGAGAGGGUGACCGGCCACACUGGGACUGAGACACGGCCCAGACUCCUACGGGAGGCAGCAGGGGGGAAUAUUGCACAAUGGGCGCAAGACUGAUGCAGCAACGCCGCGUGAGGGAUGACGGCCUUCGGGUUGUAAACCUCUUUUAGCAGGGAAGAAGCGAAAGUGACGGUACCUGCAGAAAAAGCACCGGCUAACUACGUGCCAGCAGCCGCCGUAA
rnacentral:rRNA from 1 species